GAUGAACGCUAGCUACAGGCUUAACACAUGCAAGUCGCGGGGCAGCAUGGGGGUUGCUUGCAAUCCCCGAUGGCGACCGGCGCACGGGUGAGUAACGCGUAUUCAACCUGCCCUUCACCACGGGAUAACCCGGCGAAAGUCGGACUAAUACCGUAUGUUGUCCAUUGACGGCAUCCGAUUUGGACGAAAGGCUUGGCGGUGAGGGAUGGGGAUGCGUCCGAUUAGCCAGACGGCGGGGUAACGGCCCACCGUGGCUACGAUCGGUAGGGGUUCUGAGAGGAAGGUCCCCCACACUGGAACUGAGACACGGUCCAGACUCCUACGGGAGGCAGCAGUGAGGAAUAUUGGUCAAUGGGCGUGAGCCUGAACCAGCCAAGUAGCGUGCAGGAUGACGGCCCUAUGGGUUGUAAACUGCUUUUAUGCGGGGAUAAAGUGGCCCACGUGUGGGCUUUUGCAGGUACCGCAUGAAUAAGGACCGGCUAAUUCCGUG
rnacentral:rRNA from 1 species